AAAAAAUCAUAUUACUUUAAUUAAUGAAAUGCAUGAAAUAUUUAACACCAAUACUCUUAAAUUAACUCUUUCUGACGUAAUAACAAUUUUUUUCAGUUUAAAAUUGUCUCAUUUAUUUUCGGUUGUCGUCCCACGCAUAAAUUUUUGCAUGUUUUAUUGUACUUUGCACGCUUCUGUAAUAUUUUAAUAUUCAACAAGGGUCACGUUUUACGAUACUGACACGUGGUGUGUGGUUUAAAACGCUGCAGCGAUUAAAAUCGGAAUAAUAUUUUGAUUUUUCCUUCUGUAAAGGAAUUCCGUGACAGCCCCGUGGCGGCUUCCGUCGCCAGCAAUUUGGACCACGGGCACUCGAAUCCCAUCGCCAACAGCGAGUUCACCAUUUUCACUCCGAUUUCCCCCGCGCACCACAAUAAUAACGUAUUUCUUGCCAAUCAAAGGAUUGUAAAUCGCACUCCGGAUGAUUUUAAGUACGGUGACAUCGAAGUGUCGUCGUGGUUUGAUGGUUCGGAGAAAGAUUUUCCCAGGACACGACUGAAAUACAUCCGGGAGUUGGGAAAAGGAUGGUUUGGACGGGUAAGAAAUGUCUUAUUUAUA